AUAUUUGACAAUGGGCGAAAGCCUGAUCCAGCCAUGGCGGCUGUGUGAAAAAGGUCCUCGGAUUGUAAAACACCUUAAGUUGGGAGGAAGGGUUGUAGGUUAAAACCCCGCAAAUUUUAAGUUACCAAAAAAAUAAGUACCCGCCAACCUCGUGCCAGGAGCCGCGGUAAUACGAAGGGUGCAAGCGUUAAUCGGAAUUACUGGGCGUAAAGCGCGCGUAGGUGGUUCGUUAAGUUGGAGGUGAAAGCCCCGGGCUUAACCUGGGAAUUGCUUUCAAAACUGACGAGCUAGAGUACGGUAGAGGGUAGUGGAAUUUCCUGUGUAGCGGUGAAAUGCGUAGAUAUAGGAAGGAACAUCAGUGGCGAAGGCGACUACCUGGACUGAUACUGACACUGAGGUGCGAAAGCGUGGGGAGCAAACAGG
rnacentral:rRNA from 1 species